rnacentral:lncRNA from 1 species
CGCUCCUCAUGCAGCCGCCCAGCGCCAACGAUCCGCCCCUCGCGUCCGCCGCCGAGGAGAACAAGUAAUCCCCACAGGGGAGGCUAGGGUUAGGGGCUUGUUAGUCUUAGAGUGUUGAUGAGGGGCCUAUUGGGCUCUCUAGUAUCAGUCUUCCCCUCCGGAAUAAUUGAAAUCUUAUUGCCACGGCACCGGUUGGGGCCGUUAGAUGGGCGAUUCGAGUGAUCAGGGGAGGAGGGGGACUGGGAUCGUAGAAUUAUUAGUGGCUUAUAAAAAAAGGCAGAUUGCUGUCAGUGUUGGUCGAGCGAGUGCUACUGAUGUUGGAAACAAUGUCCAAGUUCUUGUGAAUGGUUUGGUGCUCAUUUUAAUUUAAAUGGUGCUUAGCCUUUUAUGGCAACAAUGUCAUAUUUUCUGCAUGUUUUCGGUGGUAUUUGGCCUUCUGCGCAAUACCUGAUUUUAAUCUGCAGCAGAAGUUUUGCAUAAUACUUCCUUCAUGCUUAUUAUCAGAUCAACCCUUUGAUAGUUGAAAUUGGAGAUCAAUCUGUGAGACAGACAGAAUUGCUUUUGGUUGGACUCAUCAUUAUAACUGUUUGCUUAAUUGUAUCUGUUCCGAACUCAUGCAAAUAGUGAAGGAAAACGUUUUUCUUCACACGAAUCUCAUGUCGGUUUGUAGUCAGGUCAUAUGUUCCAUGUGGUUGCGUACCGUUGCAUUUGGAAGGCCAGGACAGUGUCAAUGUACUCCCUAAAUACUUGUAGUUGGGGAGAACUAAACUAGUUCUAGUUCUCCCCAACUACAAGUAUUUAGGUACAGAGGGAGUACCAUGCAUGCUUUGCCUAUUUUUGGUAGCUUGGAGGUGUCAGGUAAGACAUUUCUUUUCUUCUGGUAGUUAACAAACUUUUCGUAAGGCACUUUAUGGUUAGCUCAAGGAUCAUAUUUCUUUAGAUACUUUAGAAUAUAUCUAUCACCAUGAGUUGUUGAUGUUUAAGCUAUAUUUUCUGUUUGAAGUUUUGUCAUGAUGAGAACUCAAAAUGAUGGUCAUAUUUAUUUCUCUCUGAACACAUUUCUGAUCAACAACAAUGUAGGAUUGCACUUAGUGUGCCCCUGAAGCCCAGUCAGUUUUGUGACCCAAAAGCUUGGAAAAGGUCAUCCACUUCUACUAACUAAUAUGGCUGCAAAUCCAGGUAUGAAUGUACUGCUAUUUUACUUUUUUUGAAGUGCUUUUUGACACGAUGUUCUAUGCUGUAUUAUCAUGCUGCAGAGCAAGAGUAGUAUGAUGUGCUCCCUCUGUUCCAAAAUAUAAGUAAGGUCUAUUAUUUUUUUCAGAAUCUGUUCCUAAAGUGUUUUUUUCCCUAUAAACUUGGUCCAACAUAGAAAAGGUUGACUUCUAUUUUUUUAAUAUGCCUUGUAUUUUGGAACAGAGGGGAGUAUUGUUACAAUUUUACCCAGAAGGUAUAACUUACCCACAAGUUAUAAUCAUUGAUAACAGGAACAUAUGCAUACAUAUAUUUGUACCGAGUGACAAGUCAUGGAAUUGCAUGUAUCUGAUAUGUACAGAGGUGAAACUGAAAAUCUCACAUAUUAUUGCAAAACAAGGACCUAUUUAGAGCAGAUACUAUUCUUAGCCAUGUCUAUAGUUAAUUAUAUAUGAUCAUGAAAACUACUGUUUGGUCCUAACAGAGGUGAUAUGGUCCCCCUUAGACCGUAACAGGGGGAUCAUAACAGGAUACAUACUGCCCAGAGGACAGUUUCAUCAAACUAGCUUAUUUAGGGGAGGAGAGACUAAACUACCAAAAUUGAGACAGAAUAUAUAGGACUCAAUCUCCACAGGUUAAUUUUUUCAUGAAAUACACCAAAAUGCGUAAUCCUUUUCCUGUUUUUUUUAUCGGUUCCCUAGUUGUAGUCCCGUGAUGUAAAGCAGGAUUGAAAGCGUGUAUAAAAAAAGCUAGUAAACUUUUUCUGAAAUUCGAAUUGUUAAUUGAAUAUUGUUUGUCACUGCUCCAAGAUAUUGUUCUGUCAGGAAUGGCUCCAUAACUAGCAAUGACCAUAAAUAACCUAGCAAACUACAGAAAACAUCUUGUGAAUUCGAUUGGUUUGCCAAUGCUCCAUUUUGUAAUGUAGCGUAAAAGCACGUUUUGUGUUAUUUUGGAGAACACUUGAGCUGUUUUAAACUUCCUGGCUGUUUUCCUGAAAUCCGACUGGCUCACCAAUGCUCCAUUUUGUAGUGUUGGUUAAUAGAACGAUGUUGUUGUGUUAUUCUGAAAACCAUGCAGCUGCCUGCCGAUGGCACUGCCACUGGCGAGGAGAACAAGUAAUUGGCACAUGGGAGGCUAGGGUUAGGGCCUUGUUAGUCUUAGAGUGUUGAGGGGCCUAUUGGGUUCUGUAGUAUCAGUGUUCUCCGCCGGAAUAAUUGAAAUCUUAUUGCCACGGCACGGAUCAGGGCCUUUAGAUGGGUGUAUCGAGUGAUCAGGGGAGGAGGGGAUUUGGAUCUUAGAAGUAUUAGUGGCUUCAAAAGUGAAGAUUUAUGUUAGCGUUUGCUGAGCGAGUGCUAUUGAUGUUGGAAACAAUGUCCAAGUUCUUGUGAAUGGUGUGGUGCUCAUUUUAAUUUAAAUGGUACUUAGCCUUUUAUGGCAAUGUCCUAUUCUCUGCAUGUUUUUGGUGGUAUUUGGCCUUCUGAGCAAUACCUGAUUUGAACCUGCAGCAGAAGUUUGUCGUAAUACUUCCUUCAUGCUUAUUAUCAGAUGAUUCAGAUCAACCUGUGAUAGUCGAAAUUGGAGUUCAACCUGUGACAGAUGAGAUCGCUGUUGGUUGGAUUGAUCAUUAUAACUGUUUGCUUAAUUGUGUCUGUCCUGAACUCAUGCAAAUAGUGAAGGAAAGCGUUUUUCUUCACACGAAUCUGCAUGGCAGUUUGUAGUCAUUAGUCAGGUCAUAUGUUCCAUGUGGUUGCGUACCGUUGCAUUUGGAAGGCCAAGACAGUAUGAAUAUACCAUGCAUGCUUUGCCUAUGGUUGGUAGCAUGGACGUCAGGUAAGACAUUUUAUUUUUCCGGUAGUUAACAAACUUUUCGUAAGACACUUUAUGGUUAGCUCAAGGAUCAGGUUUCUUUAGAUACUUUAGAAUAUAUCUAUCACCAUGAGUUUUAUCUUUCAUUUGCUGAUGUUUAAGUUAUAUUUUCUGUUUUAAGUUUUGUCUGUUAGGAAAGCAACUUGUCUGUAUUGAAGGCCCAAGGGGCAUAUAUAUAUUACACAUGACUUGAGGUGCAAGGAAAGUAAACAUAGACUAAUAAGGACUCCUAGACUAAUACUAAUAGACUAAUAAGGACUCCUAGACUAAUACUAAUACUUCCUAACACCCCCCCCCCCCCCCCCAACUAUAACCGCANAAAAACAAUGAUAAUCCAAAUCCGUGUCUUGAGAGUGUCCGUCGUAGCAUGAAGAGUCUUCAAAACUUGUCGAGUCGCUGAAGGAGAGAACGAAGAGAUGGCACAUCAGAGGUAGACACCGCAUCACUUGAAGAUACAAGAUAAGUAUCAAGAGAAGAUGAGUUGUCAAAAGAAGAUGGCACAUCAAGAGAAUAAAGCAUUGCGCGGAAAAUCAUAGUCCACGACAACCGUCGGCGAAAGAAGCUCGGCGGAUAAGGCACGAUGGACGUAGAUCGACAUUGCAAAAGAAGUCCAGGAAAUCCUAUAGAAAACAACAAGGGCAAAUAGGCCACAAAGGGGGGGGGGGAAAGGAUCAGGACCAAAGAAAGGCUGAUGGACUAAGGUAUGGUGGACUCGCAUGGCAUGAGAAAACACAAAAUAUCAACGGAUUUGGUGGACGCAGCGGAAUUAUAGAAACUAAAAGAACUAGAAACAACGGGGACAUGAGCACCAGGUAGUAGCAGGGGACAUCACCACGUAUGAGCAUCACGUAGUAGCAGGGAACAUCACCACAUAGUAUAGGUGGAAGCAGCUAGCAGCAGCACGUAGUAGCAGGGAACAUCACCACAUAGUAUAGGAGGAAGCAGCUAGCAGCAUCAUUUAGUCAGGCCAGCUUGCGACAGUAGACGGAGCAGCAUGCCUGCAGCAGCAAAACGCAACCAACCGCUAGCAGUAGUUGAAGAGCCGCACGCGGGCCAUCCCGAUCUGGCGCACGGGGGAGUGAACACGGCGCAGUAGCCAACCAGGUCGAGCCAGUCAGCCAGAGAUUUGACCCAUUGGGCGGAUCGAGUCGGCAGCCUGCCAUGCGGGCGAUCAUGGCUGGGCAGGCGCACGUCACGGGUGGAUGGUCAUCACGACCGCAAGUUACGGGCAUCACCAGCUUGGAUUUGGCGAAGCAGCUGGGUGGCAUGUGCCCGGCGGUAGGCACCCACGCAACUUGCGUGGAUAUCGCAAGCGGAGAUCCGGAUCCAAUCGGGAUCGGGACAAUCCUGGUCCAACGGUAGGAGAUGGGGAGUCCAGGAGCAGGGCCACCGUCCGGCGGCGCGACCUGGAGCGGCGGGAGAUGAGGCGGCGCGACCUGGAGCGACUAGAUCCAGGAGAGAGCGGGCCUGCGGCGGGAUCCUGAAGACCGAUGGCAGGGACUGCAGCGGGAUCCGGCGGGAGCAGGAAGAAGAAGCCUCUCGCCUCCCUCCGCAAGAUCUAGAGCCAGCCUUGACUGGGGCGGCCCAAUCUCCUGACCUGGAGAGAGCGUUGACCAGGAAGGACCUGGGCAGGGUGCGUGAAGGGGG